rnacentral:rRNA from 1 species
UACGGGGGGGGGCAAGCGUUGUUCGGAAUUACUGGGCGUAAAGGGCUCGUAGGCGGCCAACUAAGUCGGAUGUGAAAUCCCCAGGCUUAACCUGGGAAUUGCAUCCGAUACUGGAUGGCUUGAAUCCGGGAGAGGGAUGCGGAAUUCCAGGUGUAGCGGUGAAAUGCGUAGAUAUCUGGAGGAACACCGGUGGCGAAGGCGGCAUCCUGGACCGGCAUUGACGCUGAGGAGCGAAAGCCAGGGGAGCAAAACGGGG